CAGCAAAGUCCCAAAGGCAGCAUGUCUGGGUUUAACUGCUCUCUUCUGGGAAUACUAUUCGCGCUUUCUGCUGUAAUUGAAGACCACACUGCCGCUGUGAGUGUAUGUGUCACAUGCACGUUAGCCUUUAGAGCCGGCUAUGGCCUUUGCUUACCGGUAUGGGUGAGGGGUUACCAUUAGAACCCAAUUUGCAUCUGGGGACAUAGCUCAGUAGUGGAGUUCCCGUGGCCUGCAGGAAGCCGUGGAUUCCAUCCCCAGCACCGCAUACACUAGCACUAUAAUCCCAGCACGAAGGAAGUGGAGGCAGGAGGAUCAAAAGCUUAAAAUCAUCCUUGUCCAGGGCACGCUUGAGUUCCUGGUUAACUCUGAGUGGGCCUCAUGUGCUGAGUUCAUACUACAUAACCAUGCAGGAUCCAGAGGGCUAGGAUAGCCUGCCCCUUGCCCCUCAGCAGAAGCCUGCAAGGCAGCCUCCCAGGGCUUGGUGUGCCCUCCCCUCUCCUUCAGCUUCCACAGAUUUUCUUCUCUGGCUUCUACUUCCUCUGGCUUCCUGCUGACGUGUUUGUUUCUGUUUCCAUCAUAUCCGGAUGAGGUGACGGCUACACUGAAAAGUAUAGGUAAGUUUCUUCCUGUUCCAAAACAUCACAGGCUAACAAUAAUUUACCCAGAAUGUACACGAUAUUCGCUAUUACAAAAGCAACCCACGGACUAGUUAAAAUACAAGGGAGAUUAUUCUUAUGCUUUCUGCAAAUUGCCAUUUUACAUAUGGAACUUAAUCAUCAUUAGAUGCUGGAAUCCGCAACUGGCCCUUGAACCAAUUGCACACUGGUACCCCCCGGGAGGGACUAUUGUUCUCCUAUGUAGCACCAAGACUGGAUAAGUUUUGGUAAAAGACUUGCUCAUUUCACCAUCUUAAGACACACUAGAAAAGACACUCAUGGAAAAGCCAUGGAUAGUAGUAGCUCGCACAAGAAUGUCUUGGCCUUAAGUCUCAGUUCUAUCAAUAGUUCUGCAACACAAGACCACUAAAAAUGUCUAAUCCACAUUGCCUUCCUCUGUGGAGGAAUAAGCCGUACCUAGAGCUGUGGAUGGAGACAAGAAAUCGGGUAAAGAAGUCAAUCUCCAUUCCUGACUUACAUGGUAAGUACUGACCAACAUGCUAGAACUUAAAACAAAGAAAACUCCAGCUCGGCAUGCAUUUGUGAAAAUACACACGUCUUGAUACAAACAAAAAUAAUUUUUAUGAGGAAUCAUUUCUUAAAAUAGAAAUAUAUUAUUUAUUCAGUGAGAAACUAAUUUUUUAAAAAUCAUCUGUUCAGAACAAAUUUUCACCUUUCAGGCCAUUUGAUUGAGGCACAUCAUUGAAGCGCAUAUUUUAUUAUUAUUAUUAUCAUCAUCAUUAUUAUUAUCGUCCACAUUUUAAAUAUUAUGUUUCCUUCUUUCACAUAGACUAUUUUAUCCAGUAGAAAUUCCCCGAAGGAGCCACAGCACAUUCAUAACAAAGACAGAGUAGAGCACUGUUGUUCCCCUGCAGCUUUCCGACAUGACAGAUCACCUAAAAUAAAGCUGGCUGUAGCCCGUUACAGACGUUACCUAGUGUCUACACGUUGGCCGUGAUCAUCGACACUUCCUUGAUAUGCAGAGACAAAAGGGAGCCUCUGCAUGCUGAAUGCAGCUAUUUCUUGAAAAGACAUUUGGCCGCCUUUGGACGGUGUGCUGGUUGGUAUCCGGGUGCCUUCUCAGGGUCAAUAGAAGUCAAUCAGAUCCAAGCACGGGAAAUGGAAACCAGUAGCCCCCACUCUCUCCCCAACUCCUGGGGCACGCAGGCAGCUUUCGGAUGUCCAAUCUUGGCUCAAUUCAGAAGGAAAAAAGGGAAUGGUACAUUCCUGGCUGAGUUGGGGUGAUAAUGCAGUUGGUUUGGGGACGCAUCGAUCCAUUCAAGCAUUCAGGGGCUAAUCUUCCCAGUUCCUGGAGGUUUUUCUUUUUUUUUUCUAUACCCUGAAAACUUCCCUUCACAAUCUCUUUCCUCCAAGGGCUUUUGAGCAUAAGAGUUGUGUCCACAGCCUACUAAGUUGCAUAUCCCAGGGUCUGGAGUUGCCAAGAGGAAAAAAAAAUCAUGCCUGGGAAUGUUCCGAUUUCAAAACUCCAGACAAGUCAUCUCAGCAGACACCUCCUAAGUGCCGGAGGCAACGGCUGGAGUCAUGCUUCCAGAUUUCAGUAGGUGCAAAUGAUUUUAGAAGAGCCUACCCAGUGGCCUCUUGUCUAUGCUGUGUUUCUGAAAGGCCCUGUAAAGUAUGCAGACAAAGCUAGACAUGGUGAUUUAAUGGUACAAAAAAAAAAAAA